rnacentral:rRNA from 1 species
AUUGAACGCUGGCGGCAUGCCUUACGCAUGCAAGUCGAACGGUAACGGGCCUUCGGGUGCCGACGAGUGGCGAACGGGUGAGUAAUGUAUCGGAACGUACCUUUCAGUGGGGGAUAACGUAGCGAAAGUUACGCUAAUACCGCAUAUUCUGUGAGCAGGAAAGCAGGGGGUCGCAAGACCUUGCGCUGAUUGAGCGGCUGAUGUCAGGUUAGCGAGUUGGUGAGGUAAAGGCUCACCAAGGCGACGAUCUGUAGCGGGUCUGAGAGGAUGAUCCGCCACACUGGAGCUGAGACACGGUCCAGACUCCUACGGGAGGCAGCAGUGGGGAAUUUUGGACAAUGGGGGCAACCCUGAUCCAGCCAUGCCGCGUGAGUGAAGAAGGCCUUCGGGUUGUAAAGCUCUUUCGGCCGGGAAGAAAUCGUAUCAGCUAAUACCUGGUGCGGAUGACGGUACCGGCAUAAGAAGCACCGGCUAACUACGUGCCAGCAGCCGCGGUAAUAC